rnacentral:rRNA from 1 species
CAUGCAGGCGGUGUGCUGCGUUUCGCGUGACAGCGCAGGGCUUACCUCUGCGAGGAUGCGAAAGACGAGCACACUUGAGGGCCAGAGAGGGACACGGAAUUCCGGGUGGAGUGGUGAAAUGCGUAGAGAUCCGGAGGAACACCGAGGGCGAAGGCAGUGUCCUGGCUGGUGUCUGACGCUGAGGUGCGAAAGCCAGGGGAGCGAACG